GCCCGCAUAGCUCAGUGGUAGAGCAUUGUACUUAUGAGGUUACCAACCUGUUUGCUUGAUACAAGGGUCUCCAGUUCGAUCCUGGGUGGGGGCA